rnacentral:rRNA from 1 species
GUGGGGAAUCUUCCACAAUGGACGAAAGUCUGAUGGAGCAACGCCGCGUGAGUGAAGAAGGGUUUCGGCUCGUAAAGCUCUGUUGUCGGGGACGAAUGUGCAGUAUUUGAAUAAAGUACUGUAAUGACGGUACCUGACGAGGAAGCCACGGCUAACUACGUGCCAGCAGCCGCGGUAAUACGUAGGUGGCAAGCGUUGUCCGGAAUUAUUGGGCGUAAAGGGAGCGCAGGCGGGAAGGUAAGUCGGUCUCAAAAGUGCGGGGCUCAACCCCGUGAUGGGAUGGAAACUAUCUUUCUUGAGUGCAGGAGAGGAAAGUGGAAUUCCUAGAGUAGCGUUCAAAUGCUUAGAUAGUAUGAGGAACACCAGAGGCGAAGGCGACUGUCUGGACUGUAACUGACGCUGAGGCUCGAAAGCCAGGGGAGCGAACGGGAUUAGAAACCCUGGUAGUCC